rnacentral:rRNA from 1 species
GACAGAGGAUGCAAGCGUUAUCCGGAAUGAUUGGGCGUAAAGCGUCUGUAGGUGGCUUUUUAAGUCCGCCGUCAAAUCCCAGGGCUCAACCCUGGACAGGCGGUGGAAACUACCAAGCUGGAGUACGGUAGGGGCAGAGGGAAUUUCCGGUGGAGCGGUGAAAUGCGUAGAUAUCGUCUGGAACGCCGAAGGUGAAAACAGCUCGCUGGGGUUGUGCUGACGCUGAGACACGAAAGCCAGGGGAGCGGAACGGG